rnacentral:snRNA from 1 species
GGAUGUGAGGGCGAUCUGGCUACGACAUCUGUCACCCCAUUGAUUGCCAGGGUUGAUUCAGCUUAUCUGGCUGGCUAGGCAGGUGUCCCCUUCCUCCCUCACUGUUCCAUGUGCAUCCCUGCUGAAAAAAGCCCAAGUAUCAAUAUUCCUCCAC